ensembl:lncRNA novel transcript
CAGGGAGUUGAGGGUUUCUGCCUUUCGGAGGGUUUGGGGGGCUGUCGGUCCCGUUAGAAGGCCACCAACAGCCCCCCAGGUUGCCAAGGGCCUGUUAGUUGUGUUCCUGGAAGGUGGGCAAGCAGCCUGAUGGGUUAACAUUGGGAUUUGCCGUCGUUAUAGCGGUCAAGGGGCCUGUAGCGGCUGCAGGGAUAACACUAGAUAGCCAAGAAUGGCAGUACCUGUUUUGUCUGUCUACACGAAUUGGACCUCAUUGUUUCUGCCACAAUGUACUGCUCCAUAAAUUCCGCCUUAUUUCCAUGGUAUUGUCUGAUUGGACAACUGAAUUUAAAGCCAAGUGAAGGAUUCAGCUAUGUCCCAAAGGAUUAAACAAGAUGUUGUCACAGGUAGUACUGAUGGAAUUGGAAAAUCAUAUGCAGAAGAGUUAGCAAAGCAUGGAAUGAAGGUUGUCCUUAUCAGCAGAUCAAAGGAUAAACUUGACCAGGUUUCCAGUGAAAUAAAAGAAAAAUUCAAAGUGGAGACAAGAACCAUUGCUGUUGACUUUGCAUCAGAAGAUAUUUAUGAUAAAAUUAAAACAGGCUUGGCUGGUCUUGAAAUCGGCAUCUUAGUGAACAACGUGGGAAUGUCGUAUGAGUAUCCUGAAUACUUUUUGGAUGUUCCUGACUUGGACAAUGUGAUCAAGAAAAUGAUAAAUAUUAAUAUUCUUUCUGUUUGUAAGAUGACACAAUUGGUACUGCCUGGCAUGGUG